UAUACUGUGUCCAAUUAAACAAUAUGUAGUGAGAUGCCUUAGACUUAAUAUUCGACUUAUAUUUGUCGUUUAGAUUGAAGGAUUAAAGCAAUUCCUGUGCGAAUAUCGACGCAGUAUUAAGCACUGGACAAAUUCUACAUACAUUCUGUAGCUAGUACUGCCAAACUACCUAGGAAAACAAAACCCAUGUUUAUAUAUGACUUAUCACGCAUGAGAAGGCAUUGUCGAUCAUUCGAGAGGUAGGGAAAAGGAAAGAAUAUUUUCAUCCAUGCAGAGAAGAUAAAGUUGUGCUAUUGAUGCUGGUGAAUAUGCCCGAACUGUUGAUUUUGCUAACCAGCAGAUAUUCUAAAGUUUAUAUUAUAUAAAACACUAAACAAACGGCAUGCUUUAAUUAAUACCAGUAUUAAAUAUCUUAUUGUAUAUUAGACAAUAUAGUCUAGAUAUGAAUGUCAUAAAUAGCAGGUCCUAAGGCUUACGUCCAAUUGUCAAUAACAAGUCCAGAUAUUGACCUACUAUACAGUGAUUCAAUGUCUACUGACAUGUAAUUUGUUAGUUUUGAUCAUUCUGUCACAUCAAAAUAGAAAUGUUAUUCCAAGAUUCCAUGAUAUUUCAUAUUUCUUAUUUGAUAUUUCCUCUGUAUGGUACAAUAUUGACGUAAGGGUAUUAAACUUAGUUCUUAUUCCUCUCCAAACGCUUUGUAGACCAACUGUUGGAUGCCAGAAGAUUUUACCUAUGUGCAAAGGAUUAUAUACCCAGAAAUAUUAUUUAAUGUUUUUAUUCCACUAGUAAUUAUCAGUGAAAUCAGAAGAGCUUGGAC